rnacentral:rRNA from 1 species
GACGAACGCUGGCGGCGUGGAUUAGGCAUGCAAGUCGAACGGUAUGGUACCUUCGGGUAUCAGAGAGUGGCGAACGGGUGAGUAACACGUAGGUGAUCUACCCUCAAGACGGGGACAACCCAGGGAAACUUGGGCUAAUACCGGAUGAAAGCAAUCGCAAGGUUGUUUGAAAGGUGGCGUAAGCUGCCGUUUGGGGAUGAGCCUGCGCUCUAUUAGUUAGUUGGUGGGGUAACGGCCUACCAAGGCGAUGAUAGAUAGGCGGCCUUAACGGGUGGUCGCCCACACUGGGAUUGAGAUACGGCCCAGACUCCUACGGGAGGCAG